rnacentral:rRNA from 1 species
GACGAACGCUGGCGGCGUGCUUAACACAUGCAAGUCGAACGGAAAGGCCUCUUUCGGGGGGUACUCGAGUGGCGAACGGGUGAGUAACACGUGAGUAACCUGCCCUUGACUUUGGGAUAACUUCAGGAAACUGGGGCUAAUACCGGAUAGGAGCUCCUGCUGCAUGGUGGGGGUUGGAAAGUUUCGGCGGUUGGGGAUGGACUCGCGGCUUAUCAGCUUGUUGGUUGGGUAGUGGCUUACCAAGGCUUUGACGGGUAGCCGGCCUGAGAGGGUGACCGGCCACAUUGGGACUGAGAUACGGCCCAGACUCCUACGGGAGGCAGCAGUGGGGAAUAUUGCACAAUGGGUGGAAGCCUGAUGCAGCAACGCCGUGUGCGGGAUGACGGCCUUCGGGUUGUAAACCGCUUUCGCUCAUGACGAAGCUUUGUGUGACGGUAGUGGGUAAAGAAGCACCGGCUAACUACGUG